CUUGGUCAUUUAGAGGAAGUAAAAGUCAUAACAAGGUAUCUGUAGGUGAACCUGCAGAUGGAUCAUUAGUGAAUAACAAGGGGUUCCCACUCUGUGGGCCCCAACCCUAUCACCAUAUCCACACACCUGUGCACCGCUAGUGAUGACUGAUGCGCAAUGCGCAUCUUGUCAUCGCCAGCACCCUUUACACACACACACACACAAAGUAAAUGAAUGUCACUGUAACUACGCAAGUAGAAACAAAAUACAACUUUUGACAACGGAUCUCUUGGUUCUCCCAUCGAUGAAGAACGCAGCGAAAUGCGAUAAGUAAUGUGAAUUGCAGAAUUCAGUGAAUCAUCGAAUCUUUGAACGCACCUUGCGCUCCUUGGUAUUCCGAGGAGCAUGCCUGUUUGAGUGUCAUGAAUUCUCAACCCUCAAUGCUUUAUUGCAUUGCUUGGGGUUGGUCCUUGGGUGCUUGCCGUCUUUACACGACAGCUCACCUCAAAUGUAUUAGCUGGACCCGUGCUUCUUGCGUAGGUGUCCUCAACGUGAUAAAGUCAUUCGUUGAGGCGUGCAGGCAACUGCCCUUACCUUCUUGUACAAGCGUCUGCUUCUAACCCGGCGAACGACUCCUUUGCAGUCUGACCCAUGACUUAAAGCUCUGGCCUCAAAUCAGGUAGGAUUACCCGCUGAACUUAAGCAUAUCAAUAAGCGGAGGA
rnacentral:rRNA from 1 species